AUUGAACGCUGGCGGCAGGCCUAACACAUGCAAGUCGAACGGUAACAGGAAGCAGCUUGCUGCUUUGCUAACGAGUGGCGGACGGGUGAGUAAUGUCUGGGAAACUGCCUGAUGGAGGGAGAUAACUACUGGAAACGGUAGCUAAUACCGCAUAACGUCGCAAGACCAAAGAGGGAGACCUUAGGGCCUCUUGCCAUCGGAUGUGCCCAGAUGGGAUUAGCUAGUAGGUGGGGUAACGGCUCACCUAGGCGACGAUCCCUAGCUGGUCUGAGAGGAUGACCAGCCACACUGGAACUGAGACACGGUCCAGACUCCUACGGGAGGCAGCAGUGGGGAAUAUUGCACAAUGGGCGCAAGCCUGAUGCAGCCAUGCCGCGUGUAUGAAGAAGGCCUUCGGGUUGUAAAGUACUUUCAGCGGGGAGGAAGGGAGUAAAGUUAAUACCUGUGCUCAUUGACGUUACCCGCAGAAGAAGCACCGGCUAACUCCGUG
rnacentral:rRNA from 1 species